rnacentral:rRNA from 1 species
CCUACGGGUUGCACCAGUGGGGAAUAUUGCACAAUGGGGGAAACCCUGAUGCAGCCAUGCCGCGUGCAUGAAGAAGGCCUUAGGGUUGUAAAGUACUUUCGGUGAUGAGGAAGGUGCCUGGUCUAAUAGGCCAAGUAAUUGACGUUAAUUACAGAAGAAGCGCCGGCUAACUCCGUGCCAGCAGCCGCGGUAAUACGGAGGGUGCGAGCGUUAAUCGGAAUGACUGGGCGUAAAGGGCAUGUAGGCGGGUGAUUAAGUCAGGCGUGAAAUCCCCGAGCUCAACUUGGGAAUUGCAUUUAAAACUGGUCGUCUAGAGUAUUGUAGAGGAAGGUAGAAUUCCACGUGUAGCGGUGAAAUGCGUAGAGAUGUGGAGGAAUACCGGUGGCGAAGGCGGCCUUCUGGACAGAUACUGACGCUGAGAUGCGAAAGCGUGGGGAGCAAACAGGAUUAGAUACCCUGGUAGUC